GUUCACUUGCACAGUCCUAUGGUCAUAGCUAGUCCUUCUUAAAGCUCUAGCCAGUGGGAAAGCGUUUGUGUUUCUAUCCUUGGAGCUCCAAGUGGGACUUCUUAAAAGAUUUAGAAGGAGCAAAGCUGUCAGGAAAUCAGAAACGUCACAUGGACUCCAUGACUGGGAAAAACCUCGUGGUGGCCUGCUCUCAGUGCUUGGAUGUGUGCUAGUUACAUCUCGGAGGUCUGAUUUUCUUAACUCUACUACGGUAAGAAGAUGCCCUCCAUCAGCAGGCCGUGUCUGCUGGGACCUCUCUGGAGACUUCCUGAACCCUGUGGAUUUACAGUAAGAUGCAGUUUCCUGGGGAGUAAUUCUGGUGGAUACAAAUUCCGGAGUAUUACACCUGGCUUGCCUGGAGAUGUUACAAGUAGCUGGAUGGAUUCUUCAGCCUGGAUGCCCACUGAAAACAAGGACCGAAACUAAGAGGAUUGUAUCUCUACCCUUGACUCAAUGAGAAUGUUUGUUGUCAUCUCUCGGGCUACCUGGAGCUCCCUCUAAAAUUAUACCCUUUAAGCGUUCCAGAAGGAUUUUGAGAUCCUUUCCUAAAUCAAAGGUGGAAUAUUUGGGGAUUUGGAAAAUUGAGAUGUGAAGCGUUGACUUAAGAGAUGCCAAGUAACUCAGCAGAUGUCACACAGACGAUAAAUAGCAAAGAUGGAAGUCUUCAUGCCGGAGGCAAUCCUAUAAGACAGCUGAGUUCUGCAGAGCUGGUAGGAGACAGACUUGCUCAGGUGAUAGAUCCAGCCAUGAUACUGACCCUAAGAGAAUGAGACGCUCUGCAGAAGACAGAAGAUUCCUGAAACUGGGAAAGGUGCCUAGAAAUCCUGAUAAGAGUGAAGAAGGAGCUGGCAGAGCAGCCUUCCUCCGCACUAUGAAAGACAUCCAACAGAGAGCAAGUUCCCACCUCACUUCCAGCUUGACUCCUUUUUAUCUCCUAACUGUGGUCUGUGAUGUCUUCAGCAAUGGGUACCUGGAGGCACAGCAGCCAUGUUGAACCUAUGAGGUGAUGAAAAACCAUGCAACUAGAAACCAGAAUGGAAGAAAAGAAGAAGCUGGAUCCUUGACUGAAUUGUCGAUGGGGGAUAGUCCAUCAUCCCAGGGCUAAGACCACCUCCAGAUUUCUUGUUUGGUGAAACAAGUCCUGAUUGUUUACAUUCCCUCGUGUUGAGCUGUCUCUUGCUUGUAGCUGAAAGCAUUUCUAAUAGAUAUUCAGAUUAUCAGCCUUAGCUCCAAGCUAGAAUACUCUAUGGGACCUUAGCUUCUCCAUGAAUUCCUUUGCUCAUCUGUGUAAUGCUCAAUAAAUGUAAAUUGAACCCUGAAUGAGGGACAAUGA
rnacentral:lncRNA from 1 species